rnacentral:tRNA from 1 species
GUUAGUACGCCAACAAAAGGUUCAGCAAAGAUCAAUAUGCCACCAAUGGUAUAGAGUAACGCACUGACUACAUACCAAAGUUUUU